AUACGGAGGGUGCGAGCGUUAAUCGGAAUUACUGGGCGUAAAGCGUACGUAGGCGGUUGGUUAAGUUAGAUGUGAAAGCCCCGGGCUUAACCUGGGAACUGCAUUUAAAACUGGCGAACUAGAGUUGAGUAGAGGGGAGUGGAAUUUCAGGUGUAGCGGUGAAAUGCGUAGAGAUCUGAAGGAACACCAGUGGCGAAGGCGACUCCCUGGACUCGAACUGACGCUGCGGUACGAAAGCGUGGGUAGCAAACGGGAUUAGAAACCCUAGUAGUCC
rnacentral:rRNA from 1 species